AUAUAUAUGAGCAGUGUUAUUUCUUAUGUGUAUACAAAUAGUUGAAGGUUAAUUCACAGUAUAACUAUAAAUAGUAAUGCUGCCAGUCUCCUUCAGACAAGG
rnacentral:snoRNA from 1 species